rnacentral:rRNA from 1 species
GUUUGAUGUUCUAACGUUGACCCGUAAUCCGGGUUGCGGACAGUGUCUGGUGGGUAGUUUGACUGGGGCGGUCUCCUCCUAAAGAGUAACGGAGGAGCACGAAGGUUGGCUAAUCCUGGUCGGACAUCAGGAGGUUAGUGCAAUGGCAUAAGCCAGCUUGACUGCGAGCGUGACGGCGCGAGCAGGUGCGAAAGCAGGUCAUAGUGAUCCGGUGGUUCUGAAUGGAAGGGCCAUCGCUCAACGGAUAAAAGGUACUCCGGGGAUAACAGGCUGAUACCGCCCAAGAGUUCAUAUCGACGGCGGUGUUUGGCACCUCGAUGUCGGCUCAUCACAUCCUGGGGCUGAAGUAGGUCCCAAGGGUAUGGCUGUUCGCCAUUUAAAGUGGUACGCGAGCUGGGUUUAGAACGUCGUGAGACAGUUCGGUCCCUAUCUGCCGUGGGCGCUGGAGAACUGAGGGGGGCUGCUCCUAGUACGAGAGGACCGGAGUGGACGCAUCACUGGUGUUCGGGUUGUCAUGCCAAUGGCACUGCCCGGUAGCUAAAUGCGGAAGAGAUAAGUGCUGAAAGCAUCUAAGCACGAAACUUGCCCCGAGAUGAGUUCUCCCUGACCCUUUAAGGGUCCUGAAGGAACGUUGAAGACGACGACGUUGAUAGGCCGGGUGUGUAAGCGCAGCGAUGCGUUGAGCUAACCGGUACUAAUGAACCGUGAGGCUUAACCUUACAAC